CCUCUGUGGCAUUCCUGCCCCCAGCUCACAUGGACACUUGUGGGAGCUGAGCGCCUGCUGCUCUGCAGGCCUGGUGUGCUGAAAGAGAAGAGCUAUAUCAGCGAGCUUUCUCCUGAUGCCAUCUGCUGGCUGAACUGACACGAUCUGGCUGGGCUGACCUAAGGAGAGAACCUGUACCAAAGAGGAAGCACAGCGCUUAACCUGCUGUUAUUCAUUAGAAUAGUUUAAUAUUGAAGCUCAAGUUGUUAUUUUCAAGGGACAGAAAAGGGGAAAAGGAAAGGGAGAAGAGAGAAGUGACAAAGCAUGAUGACCGAAGACAACAGGAUUUCAUAGACUCAGAAACACUUGGCUACACGGGUCUGUGACACAGCCACCGAAUGUCCCGCAGAGCCCAGAGGACGCCAGGCCGUGCUGUGCCAGGAGGCUGGGG
rnacentral:lncRNA from 1 species